AGCCGGGCUUCUCCAAUAGGUCGGCUUAAGACCGACCUCCUAACUACAUUAUGCAUGCUCCGUUCGUCAAGUCUCCGCAAUUUGUACAAAAGCUUCAUAAAUUAGCGCCCAACUACUCGGCUCUUCUACGUAAACUCCGACGUCCGGCUGAGAAAGUGGUCCCGGCCACGAGUGUACCAGCCAAACACGGGUACCAAGGCAAUCUUUGGAAAUCCCAGCCUUGCUCACCGAAAUCUCGGCAAAAUCCGAGAACGAUAACUACGAAAACCUUCGGCAAUAACUUGUUUAUUAGCCCGCGCUCCCUACGAGGGGUUCGGAGUUGAGUUCGGAAACCCGACUAAACUCCCCGAAUAGC
rnacentral:lncRNA from 1 species